rnacentral:rRNA from 1 species
GUAGGGAAUCUUCCACAAUGGACGAAAGUCUGAUGGAGCAACGCCGCGUGAGUGAAGAAGGUUCUCGGAUCGUAAAACUCUGUUGUGAGGGAAGAACAAGUACCGGAGUAACUGCCGGUACCUUGACGGUACCUCAUUAGAAAGCCACGGCUAACUACGUGCCAGCAGCCGCGGUAAUACGUAGGUGGCAAGCGUUGUCCGGAAUCAUUGGGCGUAAAGCGCGCGCAGGCGGUCCCUUAAGUCUGAUGUGAAAGCCCACGGCUCAACCGUGGAGGGUCAUUGGAAACUGGGGGACUUGAGUGCAGAAGAGGAAAGCGGAAUUCCAAGUGUAGCGGUGAAAUGCGUAGAGAUUUGGAGGAACACCAGUGGCGAAGGCGGCUUUCUGGUCUGUAACUGACGCUGAGGCGCGAAAGCGUGGGGAGCAAACAGGAUUAGAUACCCGGGUAGUCC